UACGUAGGGUGCGAGCGUUAAUCGGAAUUACUGGGCGUAAAGCGUGCGCAGGCGGUUUUUUAAGCCAGAUGUGAAAUCCCCGGGCUUAACCUGGGAAUGGCAUUUGGGACUGCAUUGCUAGAGUAUGGGAGAGGAAAGCGGAAUUUCUGGUGUAGCAGUGAAAUGCGUAGAUAUCAGAAGGAACAUCAGUGGCGAAGGCGGCUUUCUGGACCAAUACUGACGAUCAGGUGCGAAAGCGUGGGGAGCAAACAGG
rnacentral:rRNA from 1 species